rnacentral:lncRNA from 1 species
CCUUUGGUUUUACACACUAAUGUCUACAGGGACACAAUCUACUUCAUUACGUCAGAUCACUUGAACAUAAAAUUUUAUAUUUUUUUUUCUGAUUAGGCUGAGUAAAUCAAGGUAAAUGUGUAUUCUUCUGCCGUAACACUGGAGCCAACACACAUCAUUUGCAAAGAAGCUUGAAAGGAAACGGAGUAGGAAUCACUUAGGAUUCCUAUUUGGAAAAAAAAAAAUGUCCCCAGAUUUAUAAAUGCCUAGCCCUGAAAAUGGUUAGCAUGUAAUCUCCAGUUUUAUCCUGCAAAGGGAUAUAGGACUGGAAGAGAAGAGAGAAGGGCAAUAAGGAGUGAUUUUUGAAUUAAGAAUGAUUAAAUGGAGACAACUCUGCAGACCAUUUUGGAAACAAAAGGAGAAAGGGCAAGUUUGGCUCAAAAUAUUUCACUCAGAUCUCUUCUUCUCAAUGGAAUUGAAAGGAAGCCUUAAUGGAGAGACCAGCACAGCAACUGUCUUAAAAUGUGUCUGUAGGGAU